rnacentral:rRNA from 1 species
GAUGAACGCUGGCGGCGUGCCUAAUACAUGCAAGUCGAGCGAACAGAUAAGGAGCUUGCUCCUUUGACGUUAGCGGCGGACGGGUGAGUAACACGUGGGUAACCUACCUAUAAGACUGGAAUAACUCCGGGAAACCGGGGCUAAUGCCGGAUAACAUUUAGAACCGCAUGGUUCUAAAGUGAAAGAUGGUUUUGCUAUCACUUAUAGAUGGACCCGCGCCGUAUUAGCUAGUUGGUAAGGUAACGGCUUACCAAGGCAACGAUACGUAGCCGACCUGAGAGGGUGACCGGCCACACUGGAACUGAGACACGGUCCAGACUCCUACGGGAGGCAGCAGUAGGGAAUCUUCCGCAAUGGGCGAAAGCCUGACGGAGCAACGCCGCGUGAGUGAUGAAGGUCUUCGGAUCGUAAAACUCUGUUAUUAGGGAAGAACAAAUGUGUAAGUAACUGUGCACGUCUUGACGGUACCUAAUCAGAAAGCCACGGCUAACUACGUG